rnacentral:tRNA from 1 species
GACACGAUGGCUGAGCGGUCAAAAGCGUCAGUUUGUAAAACUGAUGAUGGUUAUCUACGCAGGUUCAAAUCCUGCUCGUGUC